GUGAGUUCGUUUACCAGAGAACUACUGUAGGCUACAAUAGGUUUCUCUUUCUAUUAAAUUUAAUAUAAAUAUAUAAAUAUCAAUAUAAUGGGUGAUGUAGCAUUUUCAACAGAAGAAAAUUAAAAUUUUGAAAGGAGAAAAGGUGGAAAAAUAAAAGUAACCCAAGAAUGAGGACUUAGACCCAUUUGAAGGUAAUUGGCCCCGGGCUUAGACCCAUUUGGAAGAAACUGGCCUCGGACUUGGAUCUUUCUGCUAACCUGUCCCUUUUUUAUCUUCUACUUUAUGAUUGUUUUAGUUAUAUCGUUUUAAAACACAUGGACACUUUUUACAUUCAUGAAUUAUCUUAAAAUAAUAAUGCAGUAAAUAAAAAACUGUUUUUU